AAAAAAAAAAAAAAACCGCGUCGCCGCAUCAAUUCCGGAACUUCGGUCUGAACAGAGACCGACUAUUUUUUUGUGUGGCUUAACACUUGCAUUUGGCAUGAGAAAACAAGAUGCCAAAAUGACUCCCUAAAAUCCAUACUUUAAACGCCCAGAACAGGUUUUUGACAAAAAGUACAUUUAACCUCAUUCCAUCUCACUGGCACACCACUCAAAUGAAAGGUCUUGUUGUCCCCUUUAAUUUGAGACCACAGUGGAGGUUGUGACGCUUGUAGUUCUGAUGAAGAUUUCGUAAAAUGUUCCACUUUUCAACCCAUGUCCACUUUUGCGUGGCAUAAUCAUGAUAAUUGGUAAGAUCUGAUUUGAGGCUUUUUUAGUGGCAAAGAGCACAACUGGGAAAAAGUUUGAAUGUGAAGCGACCAUCGCAAAAAAAGUGAGCGGCAAUUACCGACACACCAACCAGAGGUUGUUAAGUUGAUGUUGGCGCUUUUGGACGGAAUAUGAUAGUUUGGAAAAUGUGAUUCAGACAAUUCUUGAUACAAGCGUGGUCACUUUUGUUUGUUGUUACAGACGUGACCAAGACAAACCGCCAUCUUGAAAAUGUGUAUAACAGACUCAACACAGCGAUACACAAUGUUCUUGUUAGGGCGUCCUCUUCUUUUUCUACAGACUCUUUGUAUACAUGUACGCAAAACUAUUUUAUAUACUUGAUGUCAACCUUAUCGAUUUUCGUGCACUCCUCCCCUUUUAUAGUAUUCGUCCUUUCACUCCGUCACACAUCGUUCAAAUCAUGUGAAAUUCAGCCUCCAUCACUAGAUUAUCAUUCAUGAUGCGACAUGUUACCCCACCAAUUUCUGUCACGUGACCAGUCAUGUGACAUAUGCCACCAGUCAUGUGAGUCAUUAACCUGGUUUUUUUUUUACAUCGUAAUUACUUUGGUUUAUUCAUGCCGACAUUAAUAAUAAUAAUAAUAAUAAUAAUAACGAAGUCUUAUAUAGCGCACGCAUCUACCAACAGUUAGGUACUCAAAGCGCUGGUAAUUAUGUCUAUUUUGAAAGACAGGUAAUUGAAGUUUCUGAGAAAUAUGAGACCCAUUAUGUAGCACCUUUUUAAGGGUUAAUUUUAAGGGUUUACAAGGUAAUUGAAUGUAUACAUUAUAAGUAGUAAAAUUAAUGUGCAAGGAAAAAUAAGUCAUAAAUUAAAUUUGGAUGAACUUAUUUUAAGAUGGAUUCACUGAAGCGUCAGCAUAGGGGUCAGGAGAAGCCAAGGGCUUUUAUUCCUUCCCCUAUCCCAUUUCCUAUAUCCCCCGUAUUAUAGUCACAACCUUGCUGCAUUAUUUAAGUUGCGACUUGCCAAAAA